GCCUGGCUGGCUGAGUCAGAAGAGCAUGCGACUCUUGAUCUCAGGGUUGUGAGUUCGAGCCCCACGCUGAGUA
rnacentral:tRNA from 1 species